rfam:Schistosoma mattheei strain Denwood, Zambia genome assembly, scaffold: SMTD_scaffold0012979
AUCCAGCUGACGAAUCCCAAAUAGGGCGAAAUACACGUCCUGGAU